UACAGAGGUCUCGAGCGUUGUUCGGAUUCAUUGGGCGUAAAGGGUGCGUAGGUGGCGCUGUAAGUCAGGUGUGAAAUUUCGGAGCUUAACUCCGAAACUGCAUUUGAUACUGCGGUGCUUGAGGACUGGAGAGGAGACUGGAAUUUACGGUGUAGCAGUGAAAUGCGUAGAGAUCGUAAGGAAGACCAGUGGCGAAGGCGGGUCUCUGGACAGUUCCUGACACUGAGGCAACGAAGGCCCAGGGGAGCAAACGGG
rnacentral:rRNA from 1 species